rnacentral:rRNA from 1 species
GACGAACGCUGGCGGCGUGCCUAAUACAUGCAAGUCGAGCGGACGGAAGAAGCGUGCUUUUUAAGGUAGCGGGGGGCGGGCGAGUAACACGUGGGCAACCUGCCUAUAUGAAUGGGAUAAAUAAGGGAAAGAAGAGGGAGUACAGAACAAACAAUUUUUUGUAAUGUAGGAAAGAAGAAAGAAGGACGGCGUUGUUGCCUAUAAAAGGGGGCGCCGCGCCGCAUUAGCUAGUUGGGGAGGUAACGGCUCACCAAGGCGACGAUGCGUAGCCGACCUGAGAGGGUGAUCGGCCACACUGGGACUGAGACACGGCCCAGACUCCUACGGGAGGCAGCAGUAGGGAAUCUUCCGCAAUGGACGAAAGUCUGACGGAGCAACGCCGCGUGAGUGAUGAAGGUCUUCGGAUCGUAAAACUCUGUUGUUAGGGAAGAACAAGUAUGAGAGUAACUGCUCGUAUCUUGACGGUACCUAAUCAGAAAGCCACGGCUAACUACGUG